CCAUGUUUCAAAGAAAUAUACAGAAUACACACACACAACACACACACACACUUCCCCAGAGGAGGUACAAAUUUCCCACCGAACCCGCAGCGCGCCGAGUUCAGAACUACGGAAAGCCAAAAGGCCCAAAAAAGUCAAAGCUGGACGAACGCAAAAAUACUACAGUAACUUUAAACGUGACGUCCAAUCUGGGCAAUUAAGACUUUUAGUGAGCGUUACACCUGUUUGUGAAAAGUCAAACUGUUCCCGUGAAAAAUGUUUGUUUAGUAAGCACGUUUAAAGAGACUCAACAGAUGUGAAACCCAUUUUAGAGGCAUUUUCUAUGGCAUACAAGAAGAUACGUCCAUUUUUGGGGAGCAUAACAACUCCAAAAUAAGCUGAAAGACACGUUUCCUGCCACAUUACUACCUCAUCAAGUUGUAAUGGUGACGCAGUUAUCAAACAAUUGCUUGUUUACACUUAUUUUACACAGACAUGGAGCAACAUAGGAUUCGUUUGGGGCUCUAACCAACCACCUGGUUAAGCUAAUAGGGCAUGUGAAGAAGAGAGGAGGGAGAGAGGGAGGGAGGGAGGAGAGAGGUCUUUUCAGAGGUCUGCUCUAGUGCACUAAUGUCCCUGAAACCUGAACCCUUAUUGGAUCUGAAGGGCAUUAUAAGACAGGCAUCGUCCACCCCUGUUUAAAGGUGAGGAUUAAAGGGAUUGCUUUCAUUCAGGGAAGGAGAGGCGAAAAAGCCUUCCAGCAGAGCCCACUCCGGCUCAGCCCUUCUCCCUGUGUGCCUGUCCCCUUGUCUCCGCUGCCGGGGCUGAUUGACCAACCCUCCGACAGACCGGCUGCCAGCACGCCCCGGACGGCUCUCUCGCACCCAUGCUUGUUACUGUGAUGUCGCCAAGCACAGCCAGCUGCCUCGUGGCCUCUGACGUUUGCGUGGAAAAGAGAGGAUGUGCUCAACCUCCAUGUUCUACAUCUGCGUGCAAGCUCUGGGGUCUUGACCCUCCUAAAAAAAAGAAACGUUCAAGGGUUCAGGUAGCCAACAGACUGGAUUUAGCCCAACCAGGACCUGAGUCGGUCACUUGAGGCGCGACAUUAUUUAUUUUACAGGUUGCUGCUUGGGAGCAAAAGAAAGAAACUGUGUCUUUGAAGGUUGCUGCUCGUCUGACGUCACCUCUUCUGCAGCAUCAUGUUCAACGCUGGUCAUCAAGCGCCAUACCUAAUGCAGAGGGAACACAGCAACCUCUUCUGGACAAAAGUGAAAGUAGCAGAGUGUGUGAUGAAACCUACAUAACACAAACUCAAGAACGCCUGGAACCCCAAGAUCGGACAAAGACAGAAAACCACCACACAAAAUUGCACUGCUGCAGUUUGGCACACACACACAUACAUUAUAUACCGAGUUCCUCUCCAAAGUGACUCCCAUGUGUGGAGGGACCUUCAUAUAGAGGUUGUAGCAUCAGGCACUCUCUCACAGGACCAAAGGCAGCAAGUCCAUUAAAUACACAUGAGAGUCUAAUUAGGGCCCCCCUUGUGCAGCGGGCUAGGAGGUGGGAGUCAUCGGGGAACGACACUGCCAGGACUCUGACACCCAGAGAACACACUCUGCAAAUUAAUAGAGAAUGACCAAGAAGUGCCUCUGUGACUGACUGGGACCUCUGCUUCCUUGGAGGCAAAAAUACGGAAAUGAGUAACAACAGACGGAGGUGUGCAGUACGCUGAAAACUAGUCACAUCCUCCCAUAACCUUCCAGUCUGAUGUAUUUCACCACAUCUAUUCAUUUCAUGUGAUGGACAGAUUGAUUCUUUCAUUCUUCUUUUCAAAACUGUCCACUGUUUCUCAAGUCCAGCCACAAAUUCUUGAUUGGAUUGAGAUCUGGACUCUGAAUCGGCCACUCCAGGACAUCAAAAUUGUAGUUUUUAAGCCAUGUCUGUGUACCUUUGACUUUAUUUCUGGGCUUAUUGUCUUGCUGCAAAACACUUCUUCUCUUACUUCACAGGUUUCUUGCAGAUUGCAUCAGGUUUUCCCCCAGGAUUUCCCUGGGCCCGUCCUGGGCCUGCUGCUGCAGACAAGCAUCACCACAACAUGAUGUUGCCACCAUCAUACUUCUCAGUGGGGAUGGUAUGCUUACAGUGCUUAUAAAAAAUACUCAACCCCCCCAUGAUUGGAUUGAUUUGCAACAUUGAAUAAAAGUAGAUUUAAUGUGGCUUUUUUGAUACUGAUGAACAGAAAAAGACCCUUUAGUGUCAAAGUGAAAACAGAUCACUAUAAAAUUAUUUAAACUCAUUACAAAUAUGAUAUAAAAAAAUAUUUGUUUGCAUAAGUAUUCAUCCCCUUUAAUAGAAGAAACCUAAUUCAUCACUGGUGGUUUGUUCAAGUCACAUAAUUAGUUAAAUCACCUGUGUGAAGUCAGGAGAUUUCAAUUGAUUGUAGGAUUGUAAUACAGCCAAACAUGCCCUUUAGUCUGACGGCCAAGAAGCACAAUUAUGGUCUCAUCAGACCGCAAAACCUUCUUCAAGCAGAUUUCAGUCUCCGAUGUGCCUUCUGGCAAACUGCACUUGAUGUCAUGUGAGUUUUUUCUAAGAGUGCCACUCUCUCCAAUUUCAGCCUCUGAAGCCUGGAACUCCUUCAGAGUUGUCUCUUGGUGGCCUCCCUCACUGGUCCUCUUGCAUGCUCUAGGCAGAUUUACAGCUGUGUCAUGCUCUUUCCAUUCCUUAAUGAUUGAUUUAACUGUACUCUAAGGGAUGUUCAGUGACAUGGAAAUGUUCUUGUAUCCUUCCUCUGACUCGUGCUCUCCAGUCACCUUUUCACAUAGCUGUUUGUUGUGUUUGUGUUUGUUUGGCUACUGACUCACCGAGAGUUGGACCAUCUAGAUACAGGUGUACUGUAUCACCGUGACUGCACACAGGUGAUCUCCAUUUAACGUCUAAAACCAAUCAGCUGCACCACUUGUCCUAUUAAAGCGGUGAAUAUUUAUGUAUUUUACAUUUGUAAAUAAUCUAGAUCAUUUUGUAGAGAUCUGU